CUCAUUUUUCCCAAAUUGAAAACUCUAACUCUCUCUCUAUGUUUAUUUCUCAGCUCCUCUCUUCUCCAUUUUCUCCCAAAGAUGACUGAAAUUUUUCAUCUCCCGCUACUAACAAUUUGUUAGUUUGGUGUUUGAAUCAUUUGUUUUCAAGUAUUUGAGUUUUCUAAAUUUGGCUACGAAGGAACUCCAUUGUUGCUUCUUCAAGUGCUGCUAAGAAAAUAAAAAGGGAAGCUUCUCCUUUCUCAUAAAAAAAUGUUUUGCUCAACAGGUGGGGGUUGGAAAUGGGUGAAAUUAUGUCUCCAAAAGUGUUGAGGAUGAAGGUUUGUGCAGUAGUAGUAGUGGUAGUAGAAAACAUAAUCCUAUGUAUUAUGUUGUCUGUAAAAGCAUGUUACAAAUCUAUGUAUUAUACUGUCUGUAAAAGCAUGUUACAUGUUUGUAACAUGUAAAUUCAUAGUUGUCGUUGUCUGUAAAAACUUGUUAUAGGUUCGUAACAUGUAAAUUCAUCGUUGUCUGUAAAAGCUUGUUACAUGUUUGUAACACGUAAGUUUUCUAUCAUGUCUUUUUUUUUUUGUUUAAGUUGCAAGAUAAUUGUUUUGUUCUAUACAUACCAGGUUAUAUUUGUUUAGAUGUUGUUAACUUGUGUUAUGUUUUUAUAAAGAUAACAAAUGUCAAUUCUUU